GCAGCCCCACCUCUGGGAGCAGCGCCCCCGCAUCCCUCAGGCUCUAGCCUGAGGUACUGUUUUCUGCCAGAAGAGGCACUGCGGGGCGGCGCCCGCCCAUUCCCACAGCUCCGGGAAGACCCGGGCGGCGGAGGCUUAGCCCCGUCCCCUCCCGCUUCCUCCUCUUCCUCCUGCCGGUCUGAGGGCGGCAGUCUCCAACUCAAGACCCUGGGGCUCCGGGUCUUCUCAGCAGCCGCCGCAGCAGCCGCGGCGACGUCACUGUCCUCGCGGCCUGGCACACAGCGCUCAGGCCGCCGAAUGCCCGUGGACGCGCAUCUCUUCCCAGAGUUCCUGCUUCCUGGGCCAGCCAAAGCCGCAGUAAAUGAGGCAUUGAGAGAAGAGGAGGAGAUACCCCGUGCCCGAGAUGGCAGCUGCCGUUGGUGACGUGACAAGUGCCAGUGUUAGUGCCAGUUCCAGUUCCAGGGCCUAUGCCAUGGCUGAAGCAAGCAUCAGCACCAGCACCAAUGCAAGUGCCAGUUGCCAGUGCCAGGGCUAGAGCCAUGGCUGGAGCAAUUAUCAGUACCCGGGACAGUGCCAGGGUGGUUGCAAUCUCAGGCUAGCGUCAGGGACUCCUCCUGCCAGCAGUGAAGACUGAGGCUGAGUCUUCACUUUGUUUUGCUGUAGAUAGUCAAAAGGGCCCCACAGCAGUGGGCGCUGGGGUCCUGACUUUUCGAGAGUCGAAGGGUAGAGUGGGGUUAGGGAGAACCUGCCGCCCAUGGUAUCUGUGUUCCAGUUCUAUUUGUGUUUCUCAGUGAUUUAGCUUUCAAUUUGCAUAUUGCAAAGUUUUGUUUGCCUUAAUUAACUUGUUUUAUAAUGACGAUCAAUUUACAGGAAGUAAACUGGUUAAAACUACAUGAUGGCAGAAUUGUAUCAAAGUUGAAACAAACGCCAUCCUUAAGCAUUUUUUCAAAAUCCUUUGUUCCAUAGACACUUGAUUGAGUACUUAAGUUGAACAUCUAGGUUUAUGAAUGACAUUGGUCAAAUGUUUUAUUUUUCUCUGUUUCGGUUUUAGCAGGAGAGAUUUGCUGUUUCAUAAAAGAAAUUGGGAGACUAUCUCAUUUUAUGCCUGUAACUUAUUAUAGCAUUGGAAUAAGCUGUUCUUUGAAGGUUUGAGAGACUUUACCAGUACAAUCCUUCCCCCCCUCCAAAUAUACAAAGAUAAAAUAAAAAGCCGGUCAGUGUCUGUUGCACAAAAUUACAACCGCUCUCUGCUUGUAUUUGCCUAGUUCUCCAGAAUGUAGGGAAAAAUAAAAAUUCAAUGAAUUAGACACCUUGCUCAUCGACUCAUUUAUUCAACAUACAUUUACUGACUACCUACUAUAUGUGAGGCACUGUGCCGGGCGCUGCAGAUACAGGAAUGCACCAGACUCAGCCUCUGCCCCACAUCUGAGAGUCUAGAUGGGGCUGUCAUGUAAGUAAAUCAGCCAGAUGUGGCAGUUUGAUGUAUUAAUUGCUGGGGCGAGGAUAAGGACCAGGUGGUAUGGGAGCCUAGAGGUGAGACACUUAACCCUGGGUGGCGGAUGUCUGGGAACAAGGAGGGCUACCCUGUAGUGAGAUGCCAUCUGAGAUCUGAAGCACUGAAGGAGUAGUAAGUGCAGUGUGUCCCCGAGGCAGGGUAUGGUGGGCGUCGGGAGCAAUCCCAUGUUCUUCAGUGGAACUGGAAGGUUAGAAUUUCGGGAGACUGGGGAGAGGAUCUGGGGGUGGGGACCUGUACAGGAGCCAUGAUCCUCAGUUGGUGGACUUCAUGGCUGAGAGAUUAAAAAAUAAUAAUAAUAAAAUAAACGUGUAGUGGAAAGUGACUCUUUGGAAAGCAGCUGCUCUUGGCUCUUGGAUGAGCCAGAGAAAAGACUCCACCUGUGGCAUGCCUAGAAGCUGUCCUGUGCAGUUUCCACAGUGCACACAGCAGGUGCUUUAUAUUCAGCAUCCGUAAGGAGCGAUGGGCAAGAGGGUAAGUGUUGCCCUCACCGGAGCUGAUUCCCAGAAGCCACUGAGCAGAUGUUCGCCCCUGAAGCCUGGGAGAGACAGAGCUCAGUGGGUUAUAUGACUACGGUUAGUUGUUGUUGUUUUAAGAAACAAAGGCCUAGAUGUUAGAAUGGAUAAGUUAUCCUGUUUAUAUCGAGGGAAAACUGUUUGUCGGGGUGAGAGAUAAGUCUAGACUAGCCUGGAGCGAAGCCAGGAAGAGCCUUGAUGGCUCUAACCUGAUUUGGGGGGCCCAGGAAGCUAUGGAGGUUUCCUGAGCAGGGAAGGAUCUGAUGAAGGCCAAACCCUACCAAAAUUACAGUGGCCAGCACCAGCGUGGUUUUCAAAGGACCAGUAUUCUCCAUGCCUUAGAAUGGUCCUGGUGGGUAUAGUGAUCAUAAUAACUAGCCUAAAAUUAUCUUCAGUUCUUAGAGAUUGACGUGCAUGUUUUACAUCCCUGCCCGUUGGCCUUGCACAGCCUUUUUGUGCCCUUCAUCACAAACACCGUGGGAUCCUGGCACCAGUUCUCUCAGGGCCUACCCUAGGAUAUGUAGGAUCCAGAUAAUAUUACGUUGUAACCCCUCACUCGCAUUCCUCUGCUGGCGUCAAG
ensembl:lncRNA